GUUAGGGCUCAGCCAGGUUGGACUGUAGUGGUAGUUAUGGCUCAGCCAGGUUGGACUAGUGGUAGUUAGGGCUCAGCCAGGUUGGACUGUAGUGGUAGUUAUGGCUCAGCCAGGUUGGACUGUAGUGGUAGUUAGGGCUCAGCCAGGUUGGACUGUAGUGGUAGUUAGGGCUCAGCCAGGUUGAACUGUAGUGGUAGUUAGGGCUCAGCCAGGUUGGACUGUAGUGGUAGUUAGGGCUCAGCCAGGUUGAACUGUAGUGGUAGUUAGGGCUCAGCCAGGUUGGACUAGUGGUAGUUAAGGCUCAGCCAGGUUGGACUAGUGGUAGUUAGGGCUCAGCCAGGUUGGACUAGUGGUAGUUAGGGCUCAGCCAGGUUGGGCUGUAGUGGUAGUUAGGGCUCAGCCAGGUUGGGCUGUAGUGGUAGUUAUGGCUCAGCCAGGUUGGACUGUAGUGGUAGUUAGGGCUCAGCCAGGUUGGACUAGUGGUAGUUAGGGCUCAGCCAGGUUGGACUAGUGGUAGUUAGGGCUCAGCCAGGUUGGACUAGUGGUAGUUAGGGCUCAGCCAGGUUGGACUAGUGGUAGUUAGGGCUCAGCCAGGUUGGACUGUAGUGGUAAUUAGGGCUCAGCCAGGUUGGACUAGUGGUAGUUAGGGCUCAGCCAGGUUGGGCUGUAGUGGUCGUUAGGGCUCAGCCAGGUUGGGCUGUAGUGGUCGUUAGGGCUCAGCCAGGUUGGACUGUAGUGGUAGUUAGGGCUCAGCCAGGUUGGACUGUAGUGGUAGUUAGGGCUCAGCCAGGUUGGACUGUAGUGGUAGUUAUGGCUCAGCCAGGUUGGACUGUAGUGGUAAUUAGGGCUCAGCCAGGUUGGGCUGUAGUGGUAGUUAUGGCUCAGCCAGGUUGGACUGUAGUGGUAGUUAGGGCUCAGCCAGGUUGGACUGUAGUGGUAGUUAGGGCUCAGCCAGGUUGGACUGUAGUGGUAGUUAGGGCUCAGCCAGGUUGGACUGUAGUGGUAGUUAUGGCUCAGCCAGGUUGGACUGUAGUGGUAGUUAGGGCUCAGCCAGGUUGGACUGUAGUGGUAGUUAGGGCUCAGCCAGGUUGAACUGUAGUGGUAGUUAGGGCUCAGCCAGGUUGGACUGUAGUGGUAGUUAGGGCUCAGCCAGGUUGAACUGUAGUGGUAGUUAGGGCUCAGCCAGGUUGGACUAGUGGUAGUUAGGGCUCAGCCAGGUUGGACUAGUGGUAGUUAGGGCUCAGCCAGGUUGGACUAGUGGUAGUUAGGGCUCAGCCAGGUUGGACUAGUGGUAGUUAGGGCUCAGCCAGGUUGGGCUGUAGUGGUAGUUAGGGCUCAGCCAGGUUGGGCUGUAGUGGUAGUUAGGGCUCAGCCAGGUUGGGCUGUAGUGGUAGUUAGGGCUCAGCCAGGUUGGACUGUAGUGGUAGUUAGGGCUCAGCCAGGUUGAACUGUAGUGGUAGUUAGGGCUCAGCCAGGUUGAACUGUAGUGGUAGUUAGGGCUCAGCCAGGUUGAACUGUAGUGGUCGUUAGGGCUCAGCCAGGUUGGACUGCAGUGGUAGUUAUGGCUCAGCCAGGUUGGACUGUAGUGGUAGUUAGGGCUCAGCCAGGUUGGACUGUAGUGGUCGUUAGGGCUCAGCCAGGUUGAACUGUAGUAGUCGUUAGGGCUCAGCCAGGUUUUUUUCAUAUUUUGAAAGAUGGAAGAUUGAAAAUUACCUCCAUUUAAUUUACACUUCUUUGUUUUGUUCAUUUCUAUGGAAAUGUGAUUGGGAUCAGGUCAUUGGGGUUAUUCCAAAGAGCUAGAUCAUUAAGUUAGCCAGCAACUAACUCUUAAUAAACAGUCACAGAUAUCUCUUGAUUUUUCUGUUUUAAUUUAGAAACAGAAACUUGACUAUUGUUUUUCGUUUUAUAUUUUAUUGAGUUAAUUAUACCGUGCUAAUUUCAAGUGUAAUAUUUCUGGGAAAUGGGAUGUUAUUACAGAAUAUUUAGGACAGUUAACAUGAUUAAUGUAUAUAUCCUCCUUUCUGGAUGAAAAAACCAUGAGGCCCUGCGUCGUCUGUGGUGCGUAUGGAUGGAUGAACGUCAUGUUGACUACAGUGAGUCAGAACAUUUAGAAAGAACUAGAUAAGAAUGCAUCCAUCUUUUUUCAGACCAAUUAAGUCCUGUGUGUGGAUGCAGUACACACAAAUACAUGUGUAGCCCAACACAACCAGUGGACACUGAAGUGUCUUUGUGUGUUAGUGUAGACUAGGGCUGGGAUUCAACCCCUUCAGCUGUACAUCUGGGUUAUAAGCAAGCUUGACGUUUUCAAGGUAAUAUCUGAUUGAGCCAAUAUAUGCAGUGUUCACAGUGAAUGUGGGAUUGGAUUGAAUACCUGGCCCACAUUAAAAAGACAAAAAUAAAGCUAAUAUUGAUUACACAUUCAAGGAAAAUAAGGUUAUUGCAAUGCAUAGGCUAAAGAAUAAGAAUGACGUGGAACAAAAUAAUCAAUAUCUUCCAGUUUACUGUACAGUUAAUCAAGUUGUAAGAUGUCGCCGUCGACUAACCCACAGACUGGAAUAUUCUCUCUCUCUCUCUCUCUC